AUUGAACGCUGGCGGCAGGCUUAACACAUGCAAGUCGAGCGGGGUGAUGGUGCUUGCACUAUCACUGAGCGGCGGACGGGUGAGUAAUGCUUAGGAAUCUGCCUAUUAGUGGGGGACAACAUUUCGAAAGGAAUGCUAAUACCGCAUACGUCCUACGGGAGAAAGCAGGGGACCUUCGGGCCUUGCGCUAUUAGAUGAGCCUAAGUCGGAUUAGCUAGUUGGUGGGGUAAAGGGCUACCAAGGCGACGACCUGUAGCGGGUCUGAGAGGAUGGACCGCCACACUGGGAAUGGGACACGGCCCAGAACCCUAAGGGAGGCAGCAGUGGGGAAUAUUGGGAAAUGGGCGGAAGCCUGAUCCAGCCAUGCCGCGUGUGUGAAGAAGGCCUUAUGGUUGUAAAGCACUUUAAGCGAGGAGGAGGCUACUUUAGUUAAUACCUAGAGAUAGUGGACGUUACUCGCAGAAUAAGCACCGGCUAACUCUGUGCCAGCCGCCGCAGUAACAC
rnacentral:rRNA from 1 species